rnacentral:tRNA from 1 species
GGAAGAGUGGACAGUGGUCGUUGAGCGGUCUUGAAAACCGUCGCGUGUAACAGCUUUGCAGGUUCGAAUCCUGUCUCUUCCGC